rnacentral:rRNA from 1 species
GGCCGCGGGAAUUCGAUUCAGGCCUAACACAUGCAAGUCGAGCGGUAGAGAGAAGCUUGCUUCUCUUGAGAACGGCGGACGGGUGAGUAAUGCCUAGGAAUCUGCCUGGUAGUGGGGGAUAACGUUCGGAAACGGACGCUAAUACCGCAUACGUCCUACGGGAGAAAGCAGGGGACCUUCGGGCCUUGCGCUAUCAGAUGAGCCUAGGUCGGAUUAGCUAGUUGGUGAGGUAAUGGCUCACCAAGGCUACGAUCCGUAACUGGUCUGAGAGGAUGAUCAGUCACACUGGAACGGAGACACGGUCCAGACUCCUACGGGAGGCAGCAGUGGGGAAUAUUGGCCAAUGGGCGAAAGCCUGAU